UACGGAGGAUGCAAGCGUUUAUCCGGAAUUAUUGGGCGUAAAGCGUCCGCAGGUGGUUUUGAAAGUUUGCUGUCAAAGCGCGGAGCUUAACUUCGUACCGGCAGUGAAAACUCCAAGACUAGAGUUUGGUAGGGGUCACGGGAAUUCCCAGUGUAGCGGUGAAAUGCGUAGAGAUUGGGAAGAACACCAGCGGCGAAAGCGCGUGACUGGGCCUGAACUGACACUCAUGGACGAAAGCUAGGGGAGCGAAAGGG
rnacentral:rRNA from 1 species